AAUGCGCGCAUCAUGGGCGAGAGUGGGCGCGCAAGGCCGAAACAGGUUGCCACACGAUGGGUGGCGGUGGGUGGUUUUCGUAUCCGUACACGUAUCCACACACAUAUCUAUAUCCACAAAUAACCCAAAGUUGUGAAUAACCCAAAAGUGCGUGCCCCUGAUUGGGCCAAGGUAGGAGUAUCGUUAGAUCAACAGCUCCACACGACAUGAGCAGACACAAGAGUGCCAAAGUUUACACUGUCACGUGCUUGUCAACCAACGUCUCGGCGGCUUUAUAACGCCCAUGACCCCGGGCACGCUGGAACGAUGAAACGCUGAAGCUUUACAAGUGACCCCCGGCCGCGUGGACUUUGCACCCGGUGAACGGCAACUGCUGCUACCUGAACUACUUGAAGUCCCCACAGCGCUUUCAUAAUUUCGCUAAGAACUGGAAAAUAUUGCAGCAUACUUUUAGGACGACGCCAGGACACGGCCUGGCAGCAUUUCCUACAGGGCACGAAGGACAUCCUCGUCUACAUCAAACGAGAGCGCCCACAAGGGAUACAGUUGUUAACGUGGCCAAGGAGCAGCGUCUAUGGCGGGGACAAAAACACCAACAUGGUUGCCACGAGUGUCGCGAAGGACGAAGGAAGAGAAACGAGGGCUGCAGUUGAAGGAGCAGAAGCAGGGCACUUUAUGUGCAUAUAAUGUCCGCACACACACUGAGGGACGACCCUUCGAGUACAGUGUCGGCCAAGUUGCGGGGAAUUGUUAAUAUUGUCUGGGCCUGUAAGCAGCAUUUACAUGCUGGCAGACACCACGUACUACAUACGUCCAGGCUGAUGGACGAGCUCCUGUUUCUGCUCCUGCUCCUGUUCCAGCUCCAGCUCCAGCUCUAGCUCCUGCCCAAGCGGAUGAUGCCGGCUUUAAAUGUUGAAUUAACCGACCAGACUUUCAUUAGAAGCAAAGGAUGGAUUCAGUGCAGGAGUUUCAGGAUGUGGAAAGCCCAAAUGCCGAUGCAUUCUUGAUUCGUGACAUUAAGACAAAAAUAAACUUGAUUUUGGUAUGAAAUUGAUUCAUUCAUUUUCAAUCCAUUGAGUUAGAUUCUUAUCCGAUGGAUGAGUCGGGGCAGCCUCAGCACAUCCAACUGUGUGCACAUCCAACAGGUAGUCAAACCAGACAAACUGUCUCCACUUGGAAUCGAAGUCUUUUCCUCUUCUUUGCUCUUUUAAAUCGUAAGAGUACAGGAAUUUCGAAUAGAGGAACAAUUUCUUUUAUUUUAGAAACUCAGGCCAAAAAGCUAAUUUCGGAUCGUUUAAAUUGCGUAUUUCAGAAGUCAAUCCUGGCUGCAAAGAACUCCGCUGAAGCUAUACGAGCUUCUACCUACUUCCUUAUCUGCAUUCUUAUCUUCAAUGGACCGGCUCGAAACAAUUGGACAUUAAUAUUAACAAAACAGAUAAAAUUUGUACACAAUACCGUGAUACUGUUGUAACUUAAAUAUUUUUCAAUAUUGUCCAACAAGAAUUUAUUGAAUAUAAAUAGAUGCACACUGUAUAACUAUUCUAGCAACAAAAAUCCAUAAAAUCAAUUUUUUUUACCGUAAAGUAUACUUUUGACUUAAAAGAUUACAAAAUAUUUCUGAAGCUAUUUUUAAGUUCUGAAAAUAUUUGACAAUUUUACUGAAAAUAUGAAAUUGAAAUAGUUUUUUUGCUCUCUGUCUCUUCGAUUUAAAAAAACUCUUGUUAGUUUAUAGUAUAAUUAAACUUCAUGAAAAUAAUGUUUACACUUUUUAAUUUUUUUUUAUCAAAAUAUGUAAAACGAAAUAUUAUUAUUAUUAUAUUAUUAUAUUUAACUUAAAAAGAACCAAAUUGCAAUAACUACAUUACAAUAACGGAUUAUAAAAAUAGAUAUGUUAAAAAAAUCAUGGGUAGACGAACAAUUUUAAACGAAGUAUUUUAAAACUGAAUAUAUAAUCUUAAUUUUAUGCAUUGUUACCUUGUAUUAAAAGGCGAUUACUGUUAUAAUUAUAAACGCAUUCGUUUUAGGAUCAAGCAAAUUCAAUACAAUGCACUUAAAGAACAACACAAUAAACUUAAAACCAGUUAUGGAUUUAAGAUUGAAAAAUCAAUUAAAAUACUUAAAUUGCUAUGUCAGCACCUUUAAGUUAGUAAAAAAUAUAAAAAAUAUAUAUAACUUUCUAUAUACGUACAAGUUUGGUUAGGCGAAAAGUAAUCCACUUUUUUUCGUUGAUUUUUAAAAUAAUAAUAUAAGUUGUGCAUUUUUUGGAUUUUCUUCACAAAUUUCUUUUUAUAAUACCACUGUUAUUUUUUACCUAGUAAAAACAAAAUUAGCAACACUUUGUUUUUAUUUCGGUUGUACCAGAGUUAAAUUAUUCUUAAGGGGGAAUAAAUAAAAUAACUGUUAGGAUACAAUGUUUUUUAACUGCUAGCUGCAAAAAUUUCCACAUGAUUAACAUUUCUGUUUGUGUUGAUCCCUUAGACCAUACGUAAAAAGUAAAAAUAAGGGAAAAAACAAAAAAAAACUUUCAAACUUACGAUAUGGCUUUUUUUUUUUUUUUUUUUUUUUAUUGUCGCCGGAAUCGUUCAGGGCCAUCUGAACAUAACCGGUCGUUUAGAGGAUGGGGUAUAUAUGGUACAUAUGGGAUAUGGCUAAAUUAAAUUUUGAAUUCAUAGGCUUUACUUCGCUUAGUUGAAUGCCGAUCACGCAUACCAACGACCAAAAACUACAUUUUGUUUCAGCCCAAGAGUAUGCUACAUUUUCUGUAAUCAAAUUUGUGAAGCAUACUUAUAUGUUUAAUUAUUGUUUGGAAAACAGCUGCUUGAUAUGCAUGACUGAAACCAGUUUAUGUGCUAUAUGGUAUUAGGAGAUUCAUUAGUUGCUAAUUUAUUUAAUACUCAAUAUAAGGCAGUUCAGAAGGCAAUUCUUGACUGAUUUUUGGAAACUCCUGUUAUGGUUACGAAAUGAAAAUGACAUUUAUAACGAUAUCUUUUUAUGAUAUCCUAUAAAAUAAAGCUCAGAUAGGAUAACACAUUUCUAAUAACAUAUGUACUAGGGGAUAAUAAUAAAUACCCAGCUAUGGCACUUAAAUAAAUUAGAUUGAGUUGUUUGUUAAGUUACAAAUAUAAAUUAUAUAUAUAAAUAUUUGAUUAAGUCUUUGCGACUCUUAACGAAAUACUUUUGGAAUUGAAUGCGAAUGCUUUUUCGAUAUAUCUUAAACCUUGAAUAUUAAAAAGACAAGCAAUUUGUGAAAGAACAAUGCUCAAUCACCUUAAUAUCCACUAUAAAUUUGAUCCAUUUAUUGUGCAUUGUUAUAAGUCAUAAUACCACAGCCCAAGCUUGGGUCGCCAAAGGACGGCUGCGAAUAUAUUUAUUGUUUUCCGCUUACUACCUGAAUACGAAUUAGCAUCGAAACCAUCCCCCGUCCACCCCGGCCAGAAUUUAUAUACGACUAUACGAAUAUACGAAAGUAAUGUCUUGAGCAGUCGCCGGAUCGUGCCCCAUAAAUCAUGCCAAAACUGAGUUCAGGCAUAGAAAGUCAAAGUAAACAGCGAUCACUUAAAGUCAUUCAAGCAUUUAUUUAUGUCAAAACAUUGUCCGCUUAGCUGCUGCGAACCUUUUGGCGAGGGACUGGGAAUCGGGGAUCAGGAACCCAAGGGGUCAGUUGGCCAGUCGAAUGUAUAACUCAAUUAUAGGCGGCUGUGUGCUCACCUCACAGCGGGGUGUCGGCGCAUUAGCCACUCCUCCAUAUCUUCCUCCGAUUUUGUCCUUAACUGCUAGACGAUCGCACAAUGCUCCUGCGGCGAUCGGGGUCAUUGCGGUUUCGGGACCGUCUCCCCGGAAUCGGAAUCUGCAGGACCAGAUAACCGGUAGACUAGACUGCAUAGAUGUCAUUAGAAGUCCGGCACCGAUCCUCAAUGAAAUCGGUCUCUCUGCAGCGGGCUUGUCUUUAUUAUCUGGGAAGGGGAGAACUAGGGGCGAUAGGGAUUCUCCUAUUCCUGUGUGGCCCGCAUGCGCAAUCGGAUAGCACAUUUUGCCCACGACCGACCGACCUCCAAGGCCCUGUGUACAUGAUUCGGUUUAACGAGAACAAUGUUCUUGCAAUCCCAGCCUUGGCCACACCGCAGUUGCUUCGUUGGCGAUCGCCUUUAUUCUGGUGCUUUCUGGGGCAGAUCGGAGGAGGAUCGGGUCGCGUCCGCUUGAGGGGUAACAACUACACGAUGGCAGCGGAUCGUGCAAAACUACAGCGACGGGCUGGCAGGUGGCGCCGGCGCCGAUUCGAAUUUGAAUAUGAAAUGGGAGAAGGGCUCAACUACUUGCAAAUUUGUAUUGUCCCAAUCCAGGCAUAAGUGAAGUUCUUAGGGACACUCAGUAUGGCUCACUUUAAAGCACUUUUAAUAAAAGCACAUCGAGCAUGCAUGCAAACAA